AACGCACCUUGCGCUCCCUGGCAUUCCGGGGAGCAUGUCUGUUUGAGUAUCAUAAAAUCUUCAACCCACCUGUUUCUUGUUAAACACCCGUGGUGCUUGGAUCAUGGGCGUCUGCCGGCCGCACGAGCGGGCUCGCCCGGAAUGAAUGAGCAGCGUCGUCCUUCGACUUCUGGCUUGACUUGGCGUGAUAGGGUAUUUCGCUGAGGACAACAACCUCCUUCACGGGAGUACGUUGGCCGAUUCGUUGGAAGAGGGCUCCCAAUGAAACGUUCAUUACAAGUCUUUGAUCUCAAAUCAGAUAGGACUACCCGCUGAACUUAA
rnacentral:misc_RNA from 1 species